UGAACCUUUAAAGCGGUCCAGUGAGACCGAGAAGGAAAACGGAUUAAUUGGCUGACCUUAUGUUGCCAAUGUUAAAAAAUCCCCAUGCCUUCUUGGUAUGGGGAUUUUUUAAU
rfam:Bacillus sp. FJAT-27997 Scaffold1, whole genome shotgun sequence.